AGAGUUUGAUCAUGGCUCAGAACGAACGCUGGCGGCAGGCCUCAAACAUGCAAGUCUAGGGGGUGUAGCAAUACAUCACCGGCGGACGGGUGCGUAACGCGUGGGAAUAUACCUAUUGGUUCGGAACAACUGAGGGAAACUUCAGCUAAUACCGAAUGUGCCCUUACGGGGAAAGAUUUAUCGCCAAUGGAUUAGCCCGCGUAGGAUUAGCUAGUUGGUGAGGUAAUGGCUCACCAAGGCUCCGAUCCUUAGCUGUUCUGAGAGGAAGAUCAGCCACACUGGGACUGAGACACGGCCCAGACUCCUACGGGAGGCAGCAGUUGGGAAUCUUGGACAAUGGGGGAAACCCUGAUCCAGCCAUGCCGCGUGAGUGAUGAAGGCCUUCGGGUUGUAAAACUCUUUCGACGGGGACGAUAAUGACGGUACCCGUAGAAGAAGCUCCGGCUAACUUCGUGCCAGCCGCCGCGGUAAUAC
rnacentral:rRNA from 1 species